UACGGAGGGGGCUAGCGUUGUUCGGAAUUACUGGGCGUAAAGCGCACGUAGGCGGCUGUUCAAGUCUGAGGUGAAAGCCUGGAGCUCAACUCCAGAACUGCCUUUGAAACUAGACAGCUAGAAUCAUGGAGAGGUGAGUGGAAUUCCGAGUGUAGAGGUGAAAUUCGUAGAUAUUCGGAAGAACACCAGUGGCGAAGGCGGCUCACUGGACAUGUAUUGACGCUGAGGUGCGAAAGCGUGGGGAGCAAACAGG
rnacentral:rRNA from 1 species